ACGGAGGAUGCAAGCGUUAUCCGGAUUUAUUGGGUUUAAAGGGUGCGCAGGUUGUUUUAUAAGUCAGUGGUGAAAGUCUGUCGCUUAACUAUAGGAUUGCCAUUGAUACUGUAGGACUUGAGUAUGGAUGAGGAAGGUGGAAUGUCUAGUGUAGCGGUGAAAUGCAUAGAUAUUACGCGGAACACCGAUUGCGAAGGCGACUUUCUGGACCGUAACUGACGCUGAGGCACGAAAGCGUGGGGAGCAAACAG
rnacentral:rRNA from 1 species